rnacentral:ncRNA from 1 species
AAAAAAAGUAUUUGUCUUUAAAUUUUUGUUUAUUUGAAGGUUUAAUGUAAAUUUUUGUGUGAAAAAAGAGUUUAUUUUGAUAGUAAAUUUUAUUCAGGUGAUUAUAUCUGGGGGUUACAGUAAUUAGUUUUGUUUUUUCAAGUAAUUGAGAUAAAGGUAUUAAUAAUAGCACAAACCAAAUUUGUGCCAGCAGUUGCGGUUAAACGGAUUGUGCAAUAAAAAUAGUUUGGAAUGAGUUAACAUAAAAAGAAAAGUUAAUAAGAAAAAUGUUGUUUUUUUAAGGUGAAAUUUUAAAAAUAGUUUAUUUUUAUUUAUUUUUGGUUUGUGAGGCUUAGAAAUUUUAUAUUAAAACUAGGAUUAGAUACCCUAUUAUAAAAAUGUGAGUUUAAAUUCCAGAUUAGUAGUAGAUAUGUUCUUGAAAAUUAAAAAAGAUGGCGGUAUUUUAGUCCUUUCAGAGGAACCUGUUCUGUAAUUGAUAGUCCACGAUUUUUUUUACUUUUCUUUUUAGUUUGCAUAUCGCCGUGGUUGAAUAUCUUUAUUGAGUUGAAAAAUAUUCAAGAUUCUAAAAAUGGGAGUAAUUCAGGUCAAGAUGUAGUUUAUAGAAAAGAAGAAAUGGGUUACAGUAAAAAAAUUUGGUUGAUGGAAAAAUUUUUAAAAAGAGUUUAGAAAAUGGAUUUGAGUGUAAUUAUAUAAAAAGCUAUAUGUAAUGAUUUAGGGCUCUAAAAUAUGUACAUAUCGCCCGUCGCUUUCACUAUAAAGUGAAAUAAGUCGUAACAUAGUAGAUGUACUGGAAAGUGUCUCUAGAAGACG